GUAGCACUGCAGGCAGAGUCACUCAUAUGUCAUAAUUGAUGGGUGACUUGUGGGCCCAAGUCAAGCUUAUCUUCAAUGCAACACCCCAAGCAGAUCAUCACCAGCUGAUCUAGAAAGGCAUCUUGCUCCACCUGGAGCAGAAAUCUGCCACACAGAUGUAAGAGAAGGAGAAGAUGUCAAGAUUCCGACGAUAUCACAGACAUCGCAGCAAGAAAGGUGGUUGCCGUAAAGGGAAAGGACGUGGUAGGAAGCGAGGCAGGACAAAAAAAGGUGGUCGUGGAGGCAAAAAGAGAACAGGCCGUCACCACUACAGGAGGUGUGUGCUAUACUAACUGGACCAGUUUGGAACAAAGGAGUCCUAGCAAUGUAAUCACUGACUGAGCAGAACUGACAUCUUUCUCCAAACAAGUCAUCAGCGUACAGGGUCAGGAAAUGUUAGAAAACGUUUCCAAUUAAACCUACCUGGGCUGGAA